CAGUAGACGGUCAUUUGGGGGGAAUAUGAAAUCUCAUCUUGGAGUGGGAGUUAUUUUUAGGGGAUAUGGAAAAAAUAAAAUAAAGGAUAACAUAUCGGUCAGUCCCAAGUAAUCUCUCUGCAUCUCUAACGAGCGUUUCUGUUCUGCAAGAUGAUGAUCAGUCUCACGUGCUCAGAGGGCAUCCGGACGCCUGCUCACAGACACAUAAGACUGAUCUGAAGGAGGGCCUGGGAAAGGGAGAAUGAUAAAUCAUAUAUAGUAUGCCGCACCAGAAUAUUCUGUCACACUUUACACUUGGAAGCAAGUAAACAAGACUGAGUAAUAACAGACAGACAGAAAGUUAAAAUACUAGAAAUGAGUUUUUGUUACAAAUGGGACUUCCCUUUUCAGUUUCUGGAUAUUGUCAGACCUUGCAAGGAAUAGACAAAUAAUGUAACAUAGGAAGCCUACAAAGCAGCUUUCAUCUGUGUCAGCCGUACAUUACAAUCAAUUCCGAGUAUGGAUAUCAUCUCUGCCCGCCAGCUGUGAUUAGCCGAUUCCUCAGGCAGCACACUCACAUUUACUCGCCCUGCAGAUAUGAAAUCAAUUCCGCUUUAGUGCAGCACUAAGCGAGUCACGUGACCCUAUCUAGUGACGGAGGGAAUUUCAGCGAAUUCUAUCAUUUGCAGUAAGGAGUGUGUUCCACAGGACAGUAUCUGACUCUUCGUUACGAACAUGAAAGAUCACAAGGGUAAAAUCUCAGGAAGAUGUAUUGUGGU